UUCCUGUGAAAGGGUCUGGCACCUUCAACUUGACCCUGGGGGAGCUCCAGCUGAGGACCUUGGACUGCUUCUAUUUUCCCUUAGAACUACCUCGUGGGCUCUCUGAAAUUGGGGCAUAUGGAGUGAUCAGGAAAGAAGUCGAGUGUGAAGGCUUGCUGAGUCCUUUUUCAAGAACUGCUUUCCUUCUUUUGUGACCACCUGCUACCCAGUUCUCACCUAUGGCUCUAAGAAGCUAUAGCAUGCACAGCAUCCACGCCCUGGUAAAAACCAUUUCCACAGAUAGGCUAAACCAAGUUGAGGAUUACUGACAGCCUUUAAACCCCCUAGUGAGUUAGUGGAGAGUCUAAUCUAAGCAUAUGAAGAUUUCCCUAUCCAUAAAGGCAGAUGUGAAUAAUUUGCUCCAAUGGGCUAUGAAGUGAAGCAGGUGUGAUGGAGCACUUGGAGCUUGGUUAGACACUGAAGAAGCCAAGGUCAUCCACUGAAUCCUGAACAAUCACCAGUCAUCUUGAGAAGAGAGAGAGUGAAGCCAACAACUUCAAGCAAUUCUGCCUCACUCAAAUACAAUUUAUUCUUGGAUCAAAAGACAUCAAACAUACCAUUUUACAUUUUACUAUUUACCUAUCUCAUUAUUUUACUCCUGCCUCAGAGACCUGUGGUAAUGGGCAGAUGACAAGUAAUAGUUAAAGAUACCCUGGGACCUGUAGUCACAACCAUGUACCCAGAUGACUCAGAUUAUAGAGUCCUUUUCUCACUGGACUGAAGAAGCAGGGGGAUUUGGCAGCCCCCUGGGUGUAUGAGAAGUCUUUUUUUUUAAGGAUCACACUGCUUAGUUUUUGGCAUGAGGAAGAAAAUUGAAAAUGUGCCCUAAAAAUAAUCUGUUUCACUCAUCUAAUUCUGGAUUGCUUGCUUUGGCAGGUGGAGAUCCUAUCCUGCAGUCGAAAUACAAAAAAAAAAUGUACAGAAACUUUGCUAAGAUGAUUCCACUUACCACUGGUACAUAUGGACAUUAAGACCAGUACACCUGAAUGACAAACAGCUCUUGUUGCUAGAGAACCCUUCAGAUAUCACAUCCAAAUAGCAGCUUUGAAUGAAACCAAGCUGGCAAAUGAAGACCAGUUUACCAAAGUCAGAGUUGGAUCCAUAUUUUUCUGGAGUAGCCACUGAUGAAGAGCACUGUGAAGCUGGCAUGAAUUUUGCAAUCAAAUAUAAUUUAGUCAACAAGCUUGUAGGUCUUCCAAAAAGAGUGAACAGACUCAUGACAACAUGAUUGUCACUUGCAGGAAAGUGUCAUGUCACCAUCAUCAGUGUGUAUGUCUCUACCAUAAUGAACCCUGAGAAGGACACAAAAAAAUUUUAUGAAGACCCUCAUGAAUAGGGUGCCAAAAGAGGAUAAAUUUGUGAUUAUGGGUGACUUUAAAGCCAGAGUAGGUGCAGACUAUCAGAUAUGGCAGGAAAGAAUGGAGUUGGUAGCAGUAACAGCAACUGUCACUUUAUACUGAAGACAUACAUCUCAUGACUUUCUCAUCACCAACUGCCUUCAAUUUACCUAAAUACAAGGAAAUUUCAUAGAUACAGCCUUGAAGCAAACAUUGGCAUUUAAUAGAUUAUAUCACUGUAAGUAGAAGAGGAAAAAUGUGAGAGUGUAAAAGACUAUGUGUGGUACAGAGUCCUAGACAGAUCAUAGACUUAUCUUCUCUGUGAUGUGUGGUACAGAGUGCUGGACAGAUCAUAGGCUUAUCUUCUCAAAGCUAAACAUUCACAUUCAAUAAAAGUGGUGGGCCCAAGGCAAAAAAUUACUAGAAGACUAAAUGUCAAUAAAUUAGAGGGCUUCUCACUACAUGAACAAUUUGUUGCUGGCUUGGAGGGAAAGCUAAGCCAAUAUAUGGUUAGCAUCAGUGGAGCAGAGAAGAGCUGGGCUGUUCAACACAUUUGAUGUACAGCACCAUACUUUAACACUUUUGGACCAGAAUACUCGCAAACAUCAGGAUCAGUUUGAUGAAAAUGAGGGGGAAGUUCAGAAGCUAUUAAAUGAAAAAUAUGAACUCCACAGGGUUUACAAGCAGGAAAGUUCAUCAGUCUCUAAGAAGGCAAAGUUUAACUCCAUCAAAAGUAAAGUAUAAACAGAGCUUAGAGAGAGGUAGGACUCUUAGCUCAGUAAGAAAACAAAUGAAAUUCAGUUUUGCAAUGAUGGUAACAACCCAAAGUGCUGUUAUGAUGCCCUGAAGACUAUUUAUGGGCCAAAGACUUAAUGGUACAUCUCAGCUGCUCAGCACUGAUGGAACCACACUGAUCACUGACAAGGAAAUGAUCCUGGAGCUGGCUGACUGGACACUUUGAUAGUGUUCUUAUAAAUGACCAUCAUCAACCAUUGUUGAAACCAUUGACCAUAUAUCUCAGAUUUAAGUCAACCCCUCUCUAGCCACAAUUCCAAAUGAGAAAAAUGUUUUUUUAAAAAACCAACCCUUUCUUUCUGUCUUAGAAUCAAUACUGUGUAUGGGUUCCAAGACAGAGGAGCAGUAAGGGAUAGGAAAUAGGGGUUAAGUGACUUCCCCAGGAUCACACAGCUAGGAAGAGAUCAUAUUCGAAUCCCAUCUCUAGCCCUGGUUCUCAAUUCAUUGAAACACUUUGCUGCCCCCUGAGGAAAAGAUUUUGAAUCCUAUUAGACUUCUCUCUCAUGGAAAAGCACUUUGUGCUGAUUCCAUAUGAAUUGAUUCCCUGCUGCUUCUGCUAACUUGGGGCUGACAAUUAGCACCAAAAAAGAAAGAAAGAAAGAAAAAAAAACAACAAACCCAACAACAACUGAGGCCUUCCACCAACUAGCACCAUACAACCCAUAUGUGGAAUAAUUGGUUACAGCAAAUAAAAAGACUUUGAAUAGUAUUAUGUGAAUUAUUCCAGCAGACUCACUUCAUUAGGCAGUACACCAUUGAGUUAUGUGACUGAGUUGCUACAUGGCAACCUGAUGCCCUGACUCAGAAGUCCCCAUGGGUGAUGCAUCAGAAAUUUUAGGCCUGGGAACUUGGCCUGAAGUAAAAACUGUUCAAUUAGAGACUCCAAGGAAAAAGGGAAAGAAUAGCUUUAUAAGCCAGCAUAGAGAAGUGCAAGGGUUUUUGAGUUGUUUUUUUUUUUCAUCUAGGACCAGAGCCAGUGCUGUCUCCUUGGCCUAAUCUUGAUGGCCUUAUCUUACCUGGCCAAGCAAUCUUGGCCUGCCUCUGCUUUCACUGAGGGUCUUGCAGUUUGGCAAGGGACCCACUCUCUGUCCAAUCUGGAACAUUUACCAUUUGACAGGCACGAACAUUAUCUUAUCUGAACAGGUGAUCUUGGCCAGGCUUGGGCUAGGGCCAGGAGCUGGAGCUGAAGAAACAUGGUGCAGCUUGGAGAUAUUUUGUUUUGUCUUUUAGUUAGGGUGACCAGGUGAUCUUUCUCUAUCUCUCACCAACUUUUACUUUUAUUUAUCUUGGCAGUAUACUUUCUAGGAAUAUAAACCCAGAGGAUGAGGUUGAUGCACAUGUUGCCUCAGCUAGAUCAGUAAUUGGGAAACAUGGGAGAGAAGAGGUAUUGGGGCUGCCUACCACUUCCAUCUCAAUUGUCUUAGAAAGAUUCUGAAGAUCACCUGGCAUGAUAAGGUACAGGACACUGAGGUCCUUUUUUAAGCUGAAAAACAGUGCUAGAGAGAGUACAACUCUGAUGGGUAGGUCACAUUGUUCAAUACCAAAAGCACAUUUGUCUAAAAGACUAUUUAUGAAAACUCACACAAAGCAAAUGCUCACGUAGAAGUCAGAAGAAGAAAGACUUGAACAGUCUAAAGGUCUUUCUGGAGAGUGAGACACAGGAGACAUUGGCACAGGACUGUCUAGCAUGGCAUGCCUGCCUCAAAGGAGAAGAAGGAGCAAAGCAGGAUUUCAGUAGCUCAAAAGAAAUGUAAGCUAGGCAAAUUUAGAGACAUCUGCAUCCCAAAUGUUCACACAGGCUAUUUGUGCCCAGCCCACAGUAGAGCCUUCAGAGCCUGUAUCAGUCUGAUUGGCCACCAUCAGACAUAGUGUAUGUUGACCCCAACAUAAUGAUAUUAUUUUGAUAUUCUUAGUGUAUAACAACAACCAUCAAAUCUCUGAAAUUACACUUCCUUUGACUAUUCUAAAAAUAUAGUUGAAAUCAAAAUGUAGAUUAUUUGGAGUUGUUUUUUUUUUAACCCUUACUCUGUCUUGGAGUCAGUACUAAGUAUUGGUCCCAAGGCAAAAGAGUGGUGAGAGCUAGGCAACUAGGGGGUAAGUGACUUGCCCAGGAUCACACAUCUAGGAAGUAUCUGAGGCCAUAUUUGAAGGCUGGGCUUCCCAUCUCCAAGCCCUGGUGCUCUAUCUACUGAAUCACCUAGCUGCCCCAACACUUUUGGUUUUGCUAAUUUCACAUUACAUCAUCUUUCCAUGUUUCCUUCCAUGUUUCAUAUUUAUCAUUUUUGUGAUACCAUAAUUUAUUACAAUAAUAUGAUAUAAUUUAUUCAUCCAUUCUCCAAUCAAUGGUCAUAUAAGAUGUUUCCAGCUUUUGACUAUUACAGAGAAAGUAGAUGUGAAUAUUUUUGCACAUAGAGGUCUUUUCUUCCUUCUGAUUUUUUUUUUAGGAACAGUUCUAGCAAUCACUCAAGAAUUAUGAUUAGUUCUGUGACUUAUUGUAUUCUGUCAUAUUGUUCUCCAAAAUGUUUUCACUACUCUAUAGUCUUUCUAACAAUGCAGAACACCUAUUUCUACAUUGCCCUGACAACAUAGAAUUUUAAUCUUUUUUUUCUUAAAUUUUUCCUUGUUAAAGGAUACAAAGUAGUUUCAUAAGAUUAUCAUGAUUUUCAUUUUAUCACCAGGAAAUUUUAACAUCGAGCAUGUAUUUCCUGCUUUCAAAAUUAUCCAUGUCCUUUGACUAUUAUUCAUUUGAGAAAUAUGUUUUUCUUUUAGUCAUAUUUGUAGCAGUCCUGAUAGAUGUUGGAUGUUAAGCCUUCAUUUACAUAUAUUCAUAUAUAUCCUAUAUAUAGGAGUAAUUUUCUACUCUCUCAUUACCCUUACUUUCACUCUUUCUCCUUUUGUAAAUAAAUUGUAAUAAAAAGUCA